rnacentral:rRNA from 1 species
CAAUAGCGUAUAUUAAAGUUGUUGCAGUUAAAAAGCUCGUAGUUGGAUCUGUGGUGUGCGGUGGGCUCCGGGCACUUGUUGUCUGAGUAGCUCGCCGCUGCCAUCCUUGGGUGGAACCUGUGUGGCAUUGGGUUGUCGUGCAGGGGAUGCCCAUCGUUUACUGUGAAAAAAUUAGAGUGUUCAAAGCAGGCUUAUGCCGUUGAAUAUAUUAGCAUGGAAUAAUGAGAUAGGACUUUUUCGCUAUUUUGUUGGUUUGCGCGAAGAGGUAAUGAUUAAUAGGGACAGUUGGGGGUAUUCGUAUUCCAUUGUCAGAGGUGAAAUUCUUGGAUUUUUGGAAGACGAACUACUGCGAAAGCAUUUACCAAGGAUGUUUUCAUUAA